UCACUACUCCCUCUGUCCCAAAUUUCUUGUCUUAGAUUUGUCUAGAUACGAAUGUAUCUAAUACUAAAAUGUGACUUGAUACAUCCGUAUCUAGACAAAUCUAAGACAAGAAUUUUGGGGCGGAGGGAGUACUUU
rnacentral:pre_miRNA from 1 species